AUGGAGGCCCCGAUGUUGCAAGUGACCUUUAUUGCACGAGGAGACGUUUCGUUAUCGACGAUAAUGAGGUUUGCACUACUCUUGGUGCAGUGAUCCUCACACCUCUUUUGACUAUGGUUCUUGCAAGAACAUAUGUUCCUGUUGAUGUUAUUGCACUUUCCGUCAACACCCUGUAGGUGGCUGUGGCUCCGGUUUUGCUCGGUUCUUACUUACAAAGCACAUUUCCUUUAGGGGUGAAAAUGAUUACACCAUUUGUUCCUUUAUUUGUUGUUUUACUUUCAUCGCUACUUGCAUGCAGCAUUUUCUCGGGACAUGUCGUCCGUUUUAAUUCCUCAAUAGUUAAUGCAUCAUUGGCUUCUGAUGCCUUUUUAGUGUUUCGACUUCCAAUGCCUCUUUACGGAGACCACGUUGCCGUAAUACUUUCCGUGAUGUUGCUACAUUUUACGGGUUUCUUUGUAGGGUACAUAUCAGCAGCCAUUUGUAGAUUCCGAGAAGCAGAGCGGCGAGCAAUAUCAAUCGAGGUUGGCAUGCAAAAUUCUUCAUUAGGAGUGGUAUUGGCGACAACUCAUUUCACUUCUCCGGUGGUAGCGUUACCGUCCGCCAUGUCGGCAGUGAUUAUGAAUAUAAUGGGUAGCAGUUUAGGCUUCUUUUGGAGACAGAUUAGUGGUUCAAAACAGGAACUUGAAGAUCAAGAGUGAGGUUGAACUUGAAAAUUGAAACCCACCCUUUUUUUUCUUUCUUCAUCUUCAUCAUUUUGUAUGUAUGUAUGUAUGUAUGUAAUCAUCAAAGUCAAUGAUGUGUGUAUUUUACAUCGAAAGGGAAAUCUAAAUAACAUGUUUUGCAUUAA